rnacentral:tRNA from 1 species
GGUUCGAUGGCGUAGUUGGUUAUCGCAUCCGUCUUACACACAAAAGGUCCCCAGUUCGAGCCCGGGUUGAAUCA